GAUGAACGCUGGCGGCGUGCCUGAUACAUGCAAGUCGAGCGAACAGACGAGGAGCUUGCUCCUCUGACGUUAGCGGCGGACGGGUGAGUAACACGUGGAUAACCUACCUAUAAGACUGGGAUAACUUCGGGAAACCGGAGCUAAUACCGGAUAAUAUAUUGAACCGCAUGGUUCAAUAGUGAAAGACGGUUUUGCUGUCACUUAUAGAUGGAUCCGCGCCGCAUUAGCUAGUUGGUAAGGUAACGGCUUACCAAGGCAACGAUGCGUAGCCGACCUGAGAGGGUGAUCGGCCACACUGGAACUGAGACACGGUCCAGACUCCUACGGGAGGCAGCAGUAGGGAAUCUUCCGCAAUGGGCGAAAGCCUGACGGAGCAACGCCGCGUGAGUGAUGAAGGUCUUCGGAUCGUAAAACUCUGUUAUUAGAGAAGAACAAAUGUGUAAGUAACUAUGCACGUCUUGACGGUACCUAAUCAGAAAGCCACGGCUAACUACGUG
rnacentral:rRNA from 1 species